CUGUGUAUAUCACAUCUCCUAUUUCCCACUUACUAUAUUUCUUUCAACUUCACAAAUGGAAAACUUGAGUUGACCUCAUUCUAGGGCUCCAUCUGUGAUCUCUGUCCACAAAAGGAUGGGGUUGAUUAGGAAGCAGAGAGGAAAUGUGCUCCAUAGGGCAGAGAUGAAGUCUAUUGGAUUCAUGACUCCAUGACCAGGAUGAUAUCCGGAGUUGGCCGGUGACCGUGGAGACAUCUAACGGGUUUGAAGGGAUCUUCUACAGAAGGGAGUUAAUUUCCCAGAUGUGUCAGGGGGAUACCCAAAGCAUUCCUACCCUAAUUUGGUGCAGCAAACUUGGCAGUAGGAACAAAUGGAUGGUACUCUGGUGCCUAGUUACCAAAAAGCCUGAGACAGCCCUCCCUAAGUGGCAAAGAAAAGCACUUUUGUAUCUAAAUUUGGAAAUAAAGAGGACUUUUGGGUCUGAAGGAGAUGUGUGGAUCAGAGUCACUGUGGAUCCACUGCCUCCUCCUUACCAAGAUUCAAUAAGAUUCAGUGCCCUAUCUUUCACCUCCACUCUGGGAUACUUGAGAUCUCCUAUCCAGAAAAAUAAGAAAUGCAGUUUAAUCAGAAAACCCAAUCUUAUGUCUUCCAUGAGGGGUGUAGCCAUGGACCUGUCUCCAAAUUGGAGUUGAGUGAAGGGAAGGCACCUUAACUCUGGAGACCCAGUGUGAAUCCUCCAAGAACAUGCUGUGUUCACAUUUUCCAUGGACUUUUAUUGGUUCCCUUAGAUGGAGAGCAAGACGGAAACAAGGUGAGGUGAGUGCUUAUGUGGCCCUGUGUCUCGGCCUCCCAGUCUGCCUGUGUCUCGGACUACCAGUCCACCAGUGUCUCAGCCUCCCAGUCGGCCUGUGUCUCGGCCUCCCAGUCCGCCUGUGUCUCGGCCUCCCAGUCUGCCUGUACCUCGGCCUACCAGUCUGCCUGUGUCUCGGCCUACCAGUUGGCCUUAGCUCGGCCUACCAGUCCGCCUGUGUCUCGGCCUACCAGUUGGCCUGUAGCUCAGCCUACUAGUCAGCCUGAGAAGGAUUUGAAUACAACUGGUGGAGCAAAUUCAUAGAGCUCUCUGUGCUUGGCACAGUCUCUGUGCUUAGCACAGUUCUCUUGACAUGCAAGGUCUUAGAUGAUUGGGCCCCACCCUGUAUACCAUGACUUUUCACAAUAUGCUGUGUUAGAGAAGACCCCUGAUCACCAUCACCAACUGGCUUAAUCAGAAAGGGCAUUUGUUUGCUUAUGUAAUGGGAAAGUCCUAGGACUGGGGCUCAGGACAACUUAUAACAUCCCCUCAUAUCCAAAUACAUGGACCAAGAGUGGAAAAGGGAGUGCCUGCUUUUAGGAAAGUUUCCAGGGUUUUAAUGGAAGCUGUACAGGCAGAAACAGACAUUCCAGGUUCCUCCCGGGUGGACUGAGCCCAGCUCUGACUCCCAGGUCUGCUUUCUUAGAUACCACACCAACUACCUCUCUAGGCAUAGCUCCUGCUUGCUUUUCUUAGCAUCUCUCCUAGAAGGUGACUUUGCCCAUAGCACAGUUGGCUGUGCAUUUAACAUUUUGUUUGAUCCCUAAAACCAUUCUAUGAGAUAUUGGUAUUAUUCCCAUUUGAUAGAACAGAAAAACUGACAUGUUCCAACGAGUUCCCUCUAUAGGUUUUAGUUUGGCUGUAAUGCGAGGGAUGGAGGAAGCUGAACUUUGACUUACUUGGA